UACGUAGGGUGCAGGCGUUAAUCGGAAUUACUGGGCGUAAAGCGUGCGCAGGCGGUUUCUUAAGUCAGAUGUGAAAGCCCCGGGCUUAACCUGGGAACUGCGUUUGAAACUGGGAGACUUGAGUGUGGCAGAGGGGGGUGGAAUUCCACGUGUAGCAGUGAAAUGCGUAGAUAUGUGGAGGAACACCGAUGGCGAAGGCAGCCCCCGGGGUUAACACUGACGCUCAUGCACGAAAGCGUGGGGAGCAAACAGG
rnacentral:rRNA from 1 species